rnacentral:rRNA from 1 species
UACAGAGGGGGCAAGCGUUAUUCGGAAUUAUUGGGCGUAAAGCGGGUGUAGGUGGCUCUAUAAGUCAGGAGUGAAAUCCCCAAGCUUAACUUGGGAAGUGCUUUUGAUACUGCAGAGCUUGAAUGUGGGAGAGGAUAAUAGAAUUCCAGGUGUAGUGGUGAAAUACGUAGAUAUCUGGAGGAAUACCGGUGGCGAAGGCGGUCACCUGGACGGAUACUGACGCUGAGACGCGAAAGCGUGGGGAGCAAACAGG